GAUUUCUGGUCUAAUGCACCUGGCCCGCUGCCGAAAGGCGUGUGAGUGCCGGCGCGCGUUUACCAUCCUUCUAGAAAACAAUUCUGCCAUUAACUUGGUUGGGAUUGCGAUCUAGAUCUUUUACUUUGAAAAAAUUAGAGUGUUUAAAGCAGGCUUUUGCUAUGAAUACAUUAGCAUGGAAUAAUAAUCUAGGACUUCGGUUCUAUUUUGUUGGUUUCUAUAACUGAAGUAAUGAUUGAUAGGGACAGUUGGGGGUGCUAGUAUUGGCCGGCCAGAGGUGAAAUUCUUGGAUUCGGUCAAGACUAACUUAUGCGAAAGCAUU
rnacentral:rRNA from 2 species